CUGAGGAGAAACCCAACAACUGGCACUGGUGUGGGAAGGUUCUGGGAAUGUUCUGGGCCGGGUCAGCUUCUGAUCAGCUGCACUUAAGAUCACACAGAUGUCAGAGAGUCACAGCUGAAGGCCUGGCAGGACGCCAACACUUACAGUUUCACAUCCUAACCACCAGGACCUGUGGACUAAUGACGUCCAACCUCAAGGUGGUCGGAUCCGAUUGUCCUAAAAAUAAAAAGAAACUUGUUUCCAAAUAUACAGAACAUCAGUGAUCAUUGUUUUAAAAAUGCUACUAAAUGGAUUACGAAAUUCCUUCCUACAUUAUUAUGUUAUUUUGCAUUUAAAAGUGAAGACGUAUAAAAAAAUGUCUUUGAUUAGUUGGACAAGAAAGGAUGUUAUGAUGAAGACAAAAAAAACCAGAAUAAACUGCCUGAGGCCAUGCAGUUAUAACAGCUGCCCACUUGGGGCAGUACAGCCCAGAAUUUCCAACUUUUUUUUGUUAAACUCUGAUUUCUUCAUGUCAUUUCCCCCGUUAAAUUCACCAACAGGGGCGUUUGAAUUUCCCACUGUACGUGAACUGCACCGCGGAGCACCUGGAGGUUAAGAAGAGAACUGACACCUGCCCAAAUGUCGCUGGGAUACACAGGGGAGUGGUUCAAAACAGGGGUUCUCAACCUCUUUACAGUAGAUUUCAGAAGGUUGCUAGCCAGCCUGAGGGCAUGGCCGCAGUAUUUCUUUGUUGAAAUGGUACAAAGAUACUGCAGAUAUGAUAUCUAAAAAAUGAACAAAACUUUGUUGUUGCUGCAAAAUAUUGUGUGGACCGCCAGACUAAAUUCCAUGGACUCCGAGAGGCCUGGGAACUCCUGGUUGAGAACCACUGCUUCACAACCACAGAAGCUGCUCCGAGGGUCAGAUUUAUGACUUUGUUAAAGAUCGGUUUGACCAGAGGGAAUGGAAGGAAUCGAAAGGAAUGCUCUUCAAAAUAAAACAAAGUUUUCAGCAAUUAAAAAAAAAACUGGAACCAUUCCAGGAACAAUUAGUGCAGGACAAGAACCUAAAGUAUAAUCAUUUAUACCA